GUGGCCCCGGCGGAGCGCGCGCGCAGGCUGGGCAUCCUCUGGGGCGCGGGCGAUCGCUGCAGAUUAUUUAAACAGCCUCGGGAUACCUCACUGGUGCUGGAUGCCUUGUACAUGUAAACUUGGCAGCAUGAGAGCUACUCUGAAUAGGCGCAGGGCGUUACCAGGAAACAUCACUAAAUGACUCAGACUUCCUGAUGUUUUAAAUGUGUUGCCUACCUUUCAAGAUGCCUUUGUUCUUCUGACAAAUACAGCCAGUAACUCAUAAGGCCAUAAAAGAGGGAAAAUCGGAGGGGAAACCACUGGUGCCCAAAGAACAAGAUCGCCCUUAACAGAGGGAA
rnacentral:lncRNA from 1 species